rnacentral:lncRNA from 1 species
GCUGGAGGUCUUGCGCCCCUUUUUACUAUGUGUGUUGCGGAAGGAUGGGGGAAAUAGAUGAUGAUGUGAGCAGGCCUGCAGUGCAGACUAAAUGGGAAGAAAAGGAGGACUCUGCAGAGGUGAAUGAGAGGCACAGACUUCUCAUUGUUUUGGAGGAAAACAGAAUGGUGUGGUAUCCCAGAAGCUAAGACAACAAAGGGUUUCAAGGAGGAAGAGAACAACUGCAUCAACACCAAAUGCUGCUGAGAGGUUCAGGAAGAACUGGACUGAUGAUCUCACACAGGCCUGAGGCUGUGGCCAAGGCAGGAAAAUGUGGGAAUGGCCUUUCUCUGAACGUUGACCUCUGUCACCUGCCAAGCACCUUAUGAUUUCCAGUUGUACCUCCUCACCAGCCUCGCUCAUAGAUAAGCCUUCCUAUCUUAGUAAUAAUUAAAUGUUCUUGUCCGAAACCAAUAAAGAAGGUAAGAGAUU